rnacentral:misc_RNA from 1 species
UUUCCGUAGGUGAACCAGCGGAGGGAUCAUUAACAAAUCAUAAAACUGGCUAUUUGUAUGUAUGUACGCAUGGCCCUAUAUACACCCACACCCGGCCGCGAAGCCGGGUUCGGUGCGCUCCCUCCCUCCCCUGCAAAGGCGAAGGGGGACGUGGCGCGGCGAAGACUGGGGUCUGCAAGCACGCCGGUCCAACCAACAUGUACGCUUGUAUGUUUGACAGAGUUAGUUGUCACUUAAAAAUGACAACUUUCAACAAUGGAUCUCUUGGCUCUU